rnacentral:rRNA from 1 species
GACAGAGGGUGCAAACGUUGUUCGGAAUUACUGGGCGUAAAGCGCGUGUAGGCGGCUAAGUAAGUCGGGCGUGAAAUCCCACGGCUCAACCGUGGAAGUGCACUCGAAACUGCAUAGCUAGAGUCCUGGAGAGGAAGGUGGAAUGCUUGGUGUAGAGGUGAAAUUCGUAGAUAUUCGCAAGAACACCAGUGGCGAAGGCGGCUCACUGGCCCGUAACUGACGCUGAGGCACGAAAGCGUGGGGAGCAAACAGG